GAGAGAGAGAGAGAGUGGGGCAGUGUUCCACAGAGAGUCAAGACCCGCUUCCAUUACCCCCCGCAUGCUUACAUUGCUCUCUCUCUCUCUCUCUCUUUCUCUCGUCUCUGUGGGAGGAUCUUUCCCUCUUCUUCUCGACCAUGGGAAUUUACGCGACGCUCUUUUUGCUGUGUUUGAUAGCAAUUAUUGCAAUGAAGCUUCCAGUGAUAAUGUCGUCGGAUUGCCCCUUAGAUUUGAGUGGAGCUAAUAUCACUCUAGUGGGCUCGAUCUGCUCCGCUAACGAUGACAGAGGAAAGUGUUGCCGCUACAUUAAUGCUGCUGUUGCAGUUUCCAUUGCUCGCUAUGCAAAUACCACAGGCAACCUUGGGGUUACCACGGAUUUGUCUGAAAUCUGCAAACGUUCCAUAUCAGAAACCUUGGAACUGUACGGAGUUCCACGAAAUGCAACAGUGUUUUGCGGGUUUGGAACCAAAAUCUCAGUUAAUUAUGAGUGUACGGGUCGGAAAACUGUCACCCAGAUGCUGCAGUCUCCAGAUUUUGUGGAUGUCUCUGAAAAUUGCAAAAUGCCACUUUCAGAGGAAACUAAUUGCAGGAAAUGUAUAAACGCUGGUAUCAUGUACCUUCAUCAUCUGGUAGGAGCAGAAAAUAAUACGACACUGAGUACGUGCCGUGAUGCAACUUUUGCUGCGAUUGGAAGCCAAGUUGAUGGCACUUCAGCUGUUGAAAUUGCAAGCUGUUUCUUUGGAGUUCAAGGUCUUGGCAUUCUUCCAGAGCUGUCCCCAUCUUCACUCACGCCUGAGGCUUCUCCAAGUCCACUGGUUGCUGCAAGCCCAAGCCAACUAAUGUUGGGCAUACCCUUGUCUAGAAAGCGCCAUCCCUAUCGACUGACAUUGAUUCCAGGUGUUGGACUUGCAGUUACUGCAGUUGCUGUUCUAAUGCUUGUUGUCUUGAUAUUUCUUAUUCGUAGAAAAAGCAGAGAGCUGGAGGAUACUGGAAAUAUAGAUAAGACAUCUUCAAAAACUUUUCCUCCUCCUUGGCCCCUGUGGAAAUUCCAUGAAGGUGCAGGCCCUUCGUCUACGUUCCAUAAAUUCAGCUACAAGGAGAUAAAGAAGGCAACCGACGGUUUUAACACUAUCAUUGGGCGAGGAGGAUUCGGAACAGUAUACAAGGCUCAACUUAGUGAUGGCUUAGUGGCAGCAGUAAAAUGUAUGAACAAAGUUUCAGGGCAGAGGGAGGAUGACUUCUGCAGAGAGAUCGAGCUUCUUGCUAGAUUGCAUCAUCGCCAUCUUGUUGCUCUAAGGGGCUUUUGCAUUGCAAAACGUGAGAGGUUUCUCAUGUAUGAGUAUAUGGCAAAUGGAAGCUUAAAGGAUCAUCUUCAUGCUCCUGGUAGAACCCCUCUCAGUUGGCGAACUAGGAUGCAGAUUGCAAUAGAUGUGGCUAAUGCGCUGGAGUACCUCCAUUUCUACUGUGACCCUCCUCUGUGCCACAGAGAUAUUAAGUCCAGCAACAUUUUACUGGAUGAGAACCUCGUGGCUAAGGUUGCAGACUUUGGCCUUGCACAUGCUUCAAAAGAUGGUUCUGUUUGCUUUGAGCCAGUAAAUACUAAUAUCCGGGGAACUCCAGGUUAUAUGGAUCCUGAAUAUGUUGUCAGUCAAGAAUUCACUGAGAAAAGCGAUGUUUACAGCUAUGGCGUGCUACUUUUGGAGAUAGUGACUGCAAGGCAAGCAAUACAAGACAACAAGAAUAUAGUGGAAUGGUCCCAAAUAUAUAUGGCAUCAGAAUCAAGGCAGCACGAACUUGUGGAUACUAGUAUCAGGGAUUAUUUUGACUUAGACCAGCUUCAAAUAGUAAUCUCUAUUGUGAGAUGGUGUACCCAGAGAGAAGGCAGAGAUAGGCCUUCAAUUAAACAGGUUCUUAGGCUUCUGUAUGAGAGUUCUGACCCAAUGCAAAAUGGCCUUUUAGAAGCACUGGAAGAUGAAGAGUAUGAAGGAAUUGAAGAGAGAGGAAGGAGAAGCAAGGGCAAAACAGGUCGGCAUGAUGCAAUUUCUCACAGUGGAGAUGGUAGAUAUCUUGCUUCUUCCUCAAGCACAUCUAGGUCAUAUUGUAGUAGGAGCUUUUUUCUUGAAACUGGCUCUCCGCAGUCUCCGAACAAUAUACUCUCUGUUUGAUGCCUAUCAUUUGGCACAUGGACCAAGUCCGGUUGAAAGAUUGGAUAAGAGGGGCUUGAAAUAGGUUGCAUGUAUGCUCGGUUUCCAUUCUCACAGCAAAGUCUUUCACCUUCUGGAGGCACGUCAAAGAUUAUUACUGGCUUUGGUUGAAGUUAAAGAAUGAAAUUGCAAGAUUAUCGGUGACUUCUCCAUAGUUCCAACUUGUAGCUUGAAGGACAAGUCAGCAAGUUGGAUGUUCCAGGGAAACGAUGUUACUUUGUGUUAGAUUACAACAAACAAUGCCAAACGCAAGUAAAGAACAAAGAUCAGCGUGGAGGAUCAAACCGUGGUAUAGCGCAAGGCAGCGCUUUUAUCUGGACACCAAGGUCGCUCCCAACACAACAAUGCCGGGACAGCAUUGCAAGCGGGUGACUAAACUCUCCUCCAACUGGAGAGCGGAAAACGAUGGAAGAGUACAUGCUUUGACGUCGAUCGGAGGCACAGAGCCUCAUUAUACUAAAUACACCGUUCCGUAAUACCCUUUCCGAGAACGCUCCACAGCCACCUUACCCAAGCUAUGAACGAACGGAGAAUGGUGAGAGAAAUGAAAAGGGUGAUGUUCGUUCCCCUUGACGCAAAGCAAUCUCUGCUUUUAGAAACUGUACUUCGACGACCGCCUUGAAUAUAAAUAUAUACUGACAAAACUGCUAUAGCACAUAACGCCAUCUGCUCAGCUUUGCAGAUGGUAUAUACGCUGUGUAUUACGAGUUGGAGGGAGAUUCUUGAAAGCAUGGAUC